rnacentral:tmRNA from 1 species
GGGGAUGUAAAGGUUUCGACGGGGGAGGGAAACCUUGGUAAGCGGGCAGCGGCGCAGAACCGCUAUAAAAGCUGUAAACUUUUCAAUUAAACGACAACGAUUUUGUUGCUGUUGCUGCUUAAAUAAGCAGCCGUUCUUGCUCGGAAUACCGCGGCCGGGAUAAGAGCGUCGAUGAGCGGUGAACGUGAGCGAGGGGGCCGCCUUUGACCCUUGCCAUGACAAAGAAGGCUGCCAAAGCCCGGGGCUUGCUUUUGAGCACUGGGCUGCGGGAGAGAUAAAUCAAAAGCUACGCCCGUAGAAAGCCCUGGCGCCCCUUUUUCGGACGCGGGUUCGAUUCCCGCCAUCUCCACCA